rnacentral:rRNA from 1 species
UACGGAGGGUGCAAGCGUUGUUCGGAAUUACUGGGCGUAAAGCGCGCGUAGGCGGUUUGGUAAGUUGGGAGUGAAAUCCCGGGGCUUAACUCCGGAAUUGCUUUCAAGACUGCCAAGCUUGAGUAUGGUAGGGGAUAGUGGAAUUCCUAGUGUAGAGGUGAAAUUCGUAGAUAUUAGGAGGAACACCAGUGGCGAAAGCGACUGUCUGGGCCAUUACUGACGCUAAGGCGCGAAAGCGUGGGGAGCAAACAGG